UUGAAUCCUGAAACCCAAACACCGUUUCUGCAAGUGAAAUUAUUGAAUUGAUAGAACCUAGCUGUUUAGAUAUAUAAUCUAGGUUUUCAUGUUUUCGCAACAAAAUGGGGGGCACUGGCUAGAUAUGGUCCUACUUGUAGAAAAAGCAGAUCUAGAAAUUGAGGCCUGUGGGGUAUACUCUACAGCAAAAAGGUCCUGAGAAAGUGAUAAAGGGUUAAACAGUUUCGCGGAGAUUGCAGGCCUGAGUAAUACUCAACCCUCCUGCGCUAUGUCCCACCAAUAUCACCUAUUUGAUAUGAUAAGCACUUUAAUUCAAUUCUGUAAAGAGACAGACAGAUAUGAAAUAAGAGGUGGGAGCGAGAUGAUGACCAACCUGUUCAUUCUCAGGCAAAGCGGACAUGAAAUCCAUGAGAGGCUGAUUGUACUCAUCAAAGGAAAGAAUAGAAUCGGCAUCAGAUCGAUCAAUUCCAGCACUCUUGAGGUCUAUGCAUGAGACCUUGUAGCCAGAAUUCUCCAUAAGGCACCGAAUUUUAUACCAGCACCAACCUCCUCCUCCUAUGCCAUGUACCAGAACGAAGUGCUGCUUCAAUGGAAUUGCUCCUGUUUCUGUCAUGCCGACCCCUUCCUCUCUCACAGUCGCAGGUAUGGCUUUCUCUGCGCUCACCAACAUUGCACUUACCUCUCAGCUUUUCUGCUUUGAGCUCUGUUGGUUAGGAUAUAUGCGGGGCAUAUGUGGGAUGAGAUAUUGUGAAUAGUCAGUCUCAUAGGGUCGUAACGUAUGGUUUUUACUUUGCCAGUGGGGUUACAGUCAACAUAUACCUCCAUUGAUUUUUUUUUUUUUUUUGGGGUGUCAUUUUGCAUCAUGAGAACUUCGGGAAUGUGAUUUGAAACGUAAUAAUUGCGGAGGAAUGUAGAUAAGUUGUAUAAAAACCUUAAUGUCAUGAUCAGUAUUAAUAUUAUAUAUGUAAGGCUUUUUAAGAUGAAGUUUUGCUUUCCCUGAA